rnacentral:lncRNA from 1 species
AAAUUAUAAUGGGUUUCGAGAAGAACUGUGAAAAUUGUUGCGACUCCUUGAUGAAUUUAUGUUUUUGGAAGUGGACCUGCUGGCUUCUACAUUGUUGAAAAUGUAUGUUUUUUUGUAAAGGUGUGUUUUUCUGUACCUUUUUUUUUUUUUUUUCUGUCAAUUGAAUUUUUGUUCAUCAGUUUUGAUAUAUAUUAAUACGUGGCAUUUUAAAACCUACCCGAGUUCUUAUAAGGUUGAUAACAUUACAGAAAUUAUGUUUCCUCUUUUUCAUGAUGCAAACAUCUUUAAAGAUUCAUAUUAAUUUAAUGAACCGUUCAACUUACAUCCAUAUCCCUACAAUAUAAAAGAGUAAAUCCUAAAGUUGCUUUUCGUUUAACAGUGUUAAAUCCUUUUCAUUUUAUUUAUUUAUUAUUAUUAUUUUUUGCUUCUGGUGAAAAAAAUGACGUUGUUUUAUGUAAGUCUUGUACUAACAAAGUCAUUCUCUCUAUCUCUAUGCUGAUUUUCUUUCUUUAUUUAGAUCCUUUUUUUUUGCCCUUUGAUUGAUAGUCUUUUAAAUCUUUUUCUAUGUACUUUGGUUAUUUUUUUGAUAUCUACAUUUGAAUUUUUUGGAUUUGGCCUUGUAUUUUUGCGUUUCCGUGAUGUAUUGCUAUUUAUCUGAGAUUUGUUCAUUUUAUUAUAGAAGGCAAAGGCGCUACCGAAGAGAUUGCGAGGGACGUAGCGGUGGUGAUGGCAGAGAAGAAGAAUGCUGAUUCUGCACUAUGUCGCUCACAAUAUAAGUUUUGGAGGGAAGAUGGGUAGCAUGUUGCACAGUGGAGAUUGUCUUUAAGAAGCUGAAGAGUGAAUUGGAUCUUAAAAUGGUACAUCAAUAUACACUUUAAUCUCCACCCUUUU